AACGUAUCUCGCUUGUAUUCAGCGGUUAGUCGGCGCACAGCUUUGCGUUACCGUCCUCGAUGAGGCGGUGCGUGGUGUUGAGGUGCAGGCUGGCCGUGCAUUUGCAAGUUUGGUGCGCUGAGAGGUAUGGUUGGGAUUCGUGAACCGCGUUUAGAGGCCCAACUUCGGUUGGAAACCUUUGCUGUGGGUAGCGUUUUCUGGCUGUACUUAUCGUACGUCCUGGCUUACGCAUUGGCGUGUUCUUUGGAAGCGGUAUCGGUUGAAGGCUUGCCUCUCAGCUUUUAUCGUGACUAAUUGAGCGCGUCUUUGCUCAGUGGCGUUGUCUCGGCGUAAAAGUUGGUCUACUAACCGACCCGUCUUGAAACACGGACCAAGGAGUUUAGCGUAUGUGCGAGUCAUUGGGUGUUAAACCUAAAGGCGUAAUGAAAGUAAAGGGCCGCAAGGUCUGAUAUGCGAUCAUGGUUUUUACGGAAGCUGUGAGCAGCAUAGCCACGUCUCGAUAGCUUGCUAUGGGGCGUAGGUAGAGCAUAUGCGCUGAGACCCGAAAGAUGGUGAACUAUGCCUGAGCAGGAUGAAGCCAGAGGAAACUCUGGUGGAAGUCCGAAGCGGUUCUGACGUGCAAAUCGAUCGUCUGACUUGGG
rnacentral:rRNA from 1 species